rnacentral:rRNA from 1 species
AUUGAACGCUGACGGCAUGCCUUACACAUGCAAGUCGAACGGCAGCGGACCUUCGGGUGCCGGCGAGUGGCGAACGGGUGAGUAAUGUAUCGGAACGUACCUUUCAGUGGGGGAUAACGUAGCGAAAGUUACGCUAAUACCGCAUAUUCUGUGAGCAGGAAAGCAGGGGAUCGCAAGACCUUGCGCUGAUUGAGCGGCCGAUAUCAGAUUAGCUAGUUGGUGAGGUAAAGGCUCACAAGGCGACGAUCUGUAGCGGGUCUGAGAGGAUGAUCCGCCACACUGGAACUGAGACACGGUCCAGACUCCUACGGGAGUCAGCAGUGGGGAAUUUUGGACAAUGGGGACAACCCUGAUCCAGCCAUGCCGCGUGAGUGAAGAAGGCCUUCAGGUUGUAAAGCUCUUUCGUCCGGGAAGAAAUCGCAUCAGCUAAUACCUGGUGUGGACGACGGUACCGGAAUAAGAAGCACCGGCUAACUACGUGCCAGCCGCCGCCGUAAUAC